rnacentral:rRNA from 1 species
AGAGUUUGAUCCUGGCUCAGGAUGAACGCUGGCGGCGUGCUUAACACAUGCAAGUCGAGCGAGAAGUUUUAGAUGAAUUCUUCGGAUGAAACCUAAAACGGAAAGCGGCGGACGGGUGAGUAACGCGUAGGCAACCUGCCUCACACAAAGGGAUAGCUUCUGGAAACGGAAAUUAAUACCUUAUGAAACCUUAGGUUCACAUGAACUAAAGGUCAAAGAUUUAUCGGUGUGAGAUGGGCCUGCGUCUGAUUAGCUAGUUGGUAGGGUAACGGCCUACCAAGGCGACGAUCAGUAGCCGACCUGAGAGGGUGAUCGGCCACACUGGAACUGAGACACGGUCCAGACUCCUACGGGAGGCAGCAGUGGGGAAUAUUGCACAAUGGGCGCAAGCCUGAUGCAGCAACGCCGCGUGAGUGAUGAAGGCCUUCGGGUCGUAAAGCUCUGUCCUAAGGGAAGAAUAAAUGACGGUACCUUAGGAGGAAGCCCCGGCUAACUACGUGCCAGCAGCCGCGGUAAUACGUAGGGGGCAAGCGUUAUCCGGAAUUAUUGGGCGUAAAGAGUACGUAGGUGGUCUUAUAAGCCUAGGGUUAAAGGCUAUGGCUCAACCAUAGUAAGCCUUAGGAACUGUAAGACUUGAGUGCAGGAGAGGUAAGUGGAAUUCCUAGUGUAGCGGUGAAAUGCGUAGAUAUUAGGAGGAACACCAGUGGCGAAGGCGACUUACUGGACUGUUACUGACACUGAGGUACGAAAGCGUGGGGAGCGAACAGGAUUAGAUACCCUGGUAGUCCACGCCGUAAACGAUGAGCACUAGGUGUCGGGAUCGCGAGGUCUCGGUGCCGCAGCUAACGCAUUAAGUGCUCCGCCUGGGGAGUACGCACGCAAGUGUAAAACUCAAAGGAAUUGACGGGGACCCGCACAAGCAGCGGAGCAUGUGGUUUAAUUCGAAGCAACGCGAAGAACCUUACCAAGACUUGACAUCCUUCUGACCCAUUCUUAAUCGAAUGCUCCCUUCGGAGCAGGAGUGACAGGUGGUGCAUGGUUGUCGUCAGCUCGUGUCGUGAGAUGUUGGGUUAAGUCCCGCAACGAGCGCAACCCUUAUCUUUAGUUGCCAGCAGUUCGGCUGGGCACUCUAGAGAGACUGCCGGGGAUAACUCGGAGGAAGGUGGGGAUGACGUCAAAUCAUCAUGCCCCUUAUGUCUUGGGCUACACACGUGCUACAAUGGCUGGUACAAAGAGCAGCGAAGGGGUGACCCGGAGCAAAUCUAUAAAGCCAGUCUCAGUUCGGAUUGUAGGCUGCAACUCGCCUACAUGAAGUUGGAGUUGCUAGUAAUCGUGAAUCAGAAUGUCACGGUGAAUGCGUUCCCGGGUCUUGUACACACCGCCCGUCACACCACGGAAGUUGGGGGCGCCCGAAGUCGGUCAGAUAAUAGACUGCCGAAGGUGAAAUCAAUGACUGGGGUGAAGUCGUAACAAGGUAGCCGUAUCGGAAGGUGCGGCUGGAUCACCUCCUU